UACGGGGGAGCAAGCGUUGUUCGGAUUACUGGGCGUAAAGGGCGCGUAGGCGGUCGUGACAAGUCACUUGUGAAAUCUCCGGGCUUAACUCGGAACGGUCAAGUGAUACUGUCGGGACUAGAGUACAGAAGGGGCAACGUGGGAAAUUCUCGGGUGUAGCGGUGAAAUGCGUAGAUAUCGAGAGGAACACCUGCGGCGAAGGCGGGUGCUGGGCUGAAUACUGACGUGAGGCGCGAAAGCCAGGGGAAGCGAACGGGA
rnacentral:rRNA from 1 species